rnacentral:rRNA from 1 species
AGUUGGUGGAGUGAUUUGUCUGGUUAAUUCCGAUAACGAACGAGACCUCAGCUUGCUAAUUAGUUGUGCGUAGAGCUUUUUGUUCUACGUUUCUGCAACUUCUUAGAGGGACUAUCGGUGAUUAGCCGAUGGAAGUUUGAGGCAAUAACAGG